rnacentral:rRNA from 1 species
AACGAACGCUGGCGGCAGGCUUAACACAUGCAAGUCGAGCGCCCCGCAAGGGGAGCGGCAGACGGGUGAGUAACGCGUGGGAAUCUACCCAUCUCUACGGAAUAACGCAUGGAAACGUGUGCUAAUACCGUAUACGUCCUUCGGGAGAAAGAUUUAUCGGAGAUGGAUGAGCCCGCGUUGGAUUAGCUAGUUGGUGGGGUAAAUGCCUACCAAGGCGACGAUCCAUAGCUGGUCUGAGAGGAUGAUCAGCCACACUGGGACUGAGACACGGCCCAAACUCCUACGGGAGGCAGCAGUGGGGAAUAUUGGACCAUGGGCGCAAGCCUGAUCCAGCCAUGCCGCGUGAGUGAUGAAUGCCCUAGGGUUGUAAAGCUCUUUCACCGGUGAAGAUAAUGACGGUAACCGGAGAAGAAGCCCCGGCUAACUUCGUGCCAGCCGCCGCAGUAAAAC